CCUACGGGAGGCUGCAGUAAGGAAUAUUGGUCAAUGGAGGAAACUCUGAACCAGCCAUCCCGCGUGAAGGAUGAAGGGGCUCUGCCUUGUAAACUUCUUUUGUCUGGGGCGAAAAAGCUCGAUUUAUCGAGAACUGACGGUACCAGAAGAAUAAGCACCGGCUAACUCCGUGCCAGCAGCCGCGGUAAUACGGAGGGUGCAGGAGUUAUCCGGAAUAACGGGGUUUAAGGCGGCUUAGUACGUCAGUGGAGAAAGGCUGUGGCUUAACCAUGGAAUUGCCAUUGAUACUGCAGAGCUUGAGUGAGGUAGAGGUUGGCGGAAUGUGACAUGUAGCGGUGAAAUGCUUAGAGAUGUCAUGGAACACCGAUUGCGAAGGCAGCUGACUGGACCUAUAUUGACGCUGAGGCACGAAAGCGUGGGGAGCGAACAGGAUUAGAUACCCGUGUAGUC
rnacentral:rRNA from 1 species